GACGAACGCUGGCGGCGUGCUUAACACAUGCAAGUCGAACGGUGAAGCGCCUUCCUUUUUGGUGGGUGUGGAUGAGUGGCGAACGGGUGAGUAACACGUGAGUAACCUGCCCCCUUCUUCUGGAUAACCGCAUGAAAGUGUGGCUAAUACGGGAUAUUCUGGGUCUGUCGCAUGAUGGGUCUGGGAAAGAUAUUGUUUCGGUGGGGGAUGGGCUCGCGGCCUAUCAGCUUGUUGGUGGGGUGAUGGCCUACCAAGGCGGUGACGGGUAGCCGGCCUGAGAGGGUGGACGGUCACACGGGGAGUGAGACACGGCCGAGACUCCGACGGGAGGCAGCAGUGGGGAAUAUGGCACAGUGGGCGCAAGCCUGAUGCAGCGACGCCGCGUGAGGGAUGGAGGCCUUCGGGUUGUGAACCUCUUUCGCCAGUGAAGCAGGCCUGCCUCGUUUGUGGGUGGGUUGACGGUAGCUGGAUAAGAAGCGCCGGCUAACUACGUG
rnacentral:rRNA from 1 species